CUGACAGAUCCUACUUUUUCUUCAUCAUUUUAUUUUAUUGAUAACAUAUAUUAUCCCGUCGGAGUAUCACCAUUUCAAUUAUGUCGGAAUUUUCAACUGCUUGAUCAUCUCAAGCAUCCUACAAUCAAGCUGUUACUGUCAAUUCAUCAGAGCUUUCUCAGAUCGAACCUGAUAUCCCUGAUCCCAACCUCUUUACUGACUAUGAUUUGCUGACUUCAUCUGAGUAUUUACAGGAAAUUUACCCAUUCACAACCAAACUUGUUGAGAUCGUUGUUAUCGUCCAUCUCGUCAAAGGUGUGGAGACAGUCAAAUGUAAAAAUGGAACUGUGAAUACCGUAUGCACUUUUUAUGUUCACAAUAACGAUGGGAAAAGUGUCCAAUGUGUAAUGUGGGGUGAUACGAUUGAGAAGUUUAUCGAUAAACUUGUAGUACAACACGUAAUUCAUAUCGAAGGAAGUUUCCCAAAAUCAGUCUCUGAUCAAUUUAAUUCUGGAACCACUCCUUAUGAAUUGGUUUUACAGUCCAAUACCAUCGUGACUGAUUUGGGUAAGAUCAAACUUCCUUCAGUUGCUGAAUUGAAUGAUUCUGUUCCGGUCGUUCCUUUGAUCAAUGUGGCGGAACAUAAGAAAA